rnacentral:rRNA from 1 species
UACGAAGGGGGCUAGCGUUGCUCGGAAUCACUGGGCGUAAAGGGUGCGUAGGCGGGUUUUUAAGUCAGAGGUGAAAUCCUGGAGCUCAACUCCAGAACUGCCUUUGAUACUGAAAGUCUUGAGUACGGGAGAGGUGAGUGGAACUGCGAGUGUAGAGGUGAAAUUCGUAGAUAUUCGCAAGAACACCAGUGGCGAAGGCGGCUCACUGGCCCGUAACUGACGCUGAGGUGCGAAAGCGUGGGGAGCAAACAGG